ensembl:lncRNA
GGAGAAAUGAGGGCUACAGCUUGAAUGAGCUCCUUCUGUCCAUCACUGAUGUCGCAUGGAAGGCUGUCAGCCGAGCUGCAGCAGUUCGUGCUUCCUAGCAGCUCACUGCUGAUGGAAGCACACAGAUCAUCACCGCUAUUUGCUGCGGCUCUUCUGGGUGGACAAGGGCUCCAUUCACCUAGGAAGGAGUAGAUACACAGAGGUUAGCGUCAAACUUUCACUGUCCAAGGAGGCCGAGGCUUGGUGCUGUCUGUCACGGAGGCUUCAAGCAACAAGCAAGAUGCUCCCCAGCCAGCUCGAAACAACAACAACAGCAGCAACAGCAACAAAGAAAGGAGUUAGCAAUAGCUGUUAAUUAAGCCUGCACUUUUAGCUGAGCAAAGAAUCCUGCUGUCUCCUCGUCCCCCUAGGGAAACAAAACCAAGACAGUGACAGGCUGAAGUACGAGAGUGGUUGUUGACAUUUGGCUAUGUAGUAGUGGUGAGAAGAAGCAAAUAGGCUUCUAGCAACAGUGCCACUGUCUUGAAAAUGAUCCUUGUGCAGGUCCAGAUCAUGACUUCACAAGAGACUCAGCUGGGAAAGAAAGACAGGGCUGAACUGAAGAUGUUAGGCACGGGCUUGAACGCUAGAAGGAGGUACAAGCCCACUGAAAGCAUGAAUUCGAUGGCGCUGACAAGCAGUGUUUUGAAAGCGGGAUGUGCACCCUUACCUGCCAGGACCACGACCUCUGUUUCUGAGGGCUCCCUGGCACUGCGCUGCAGUUGGCGUUUGGCCACAGAGGAUGGCUUUCUCGGCCUGAAGCAGGAACACCAACUGCCAGCUGCUGGUUCCUUCAUCUUGCUUGGUCUGGAGAGAGAAAACAGUGACUGGCGUGAGUCGUGCAUGGGGCAGGGUGAGGGAAGAGCCGCCCUGAGCUCUUGCCAACACUUGCUUGUUCCUAGCACUGCCUGGUUCCUGCUGAACACAGCUUAGAAGCUUGCUCUGUGUCACACAGUUGAGGAUGGUUCCAUUCCUAGAGCUCAGCCCUGGAGUCUUGCUGGCUUCAUUCCCCUCAACCAUGUCAAGCAAGAUGCAGAGCACGCGAGCAAAGGCUGCACAGCUGUCCAGGACAGCAUCUAAGGCAGGGCUUUGAUUGAGCUGGCAGGCAUAACUACUUUCUGAGGAACCGUGCAGCCAUGGAGGAAGUUCAAAAGCAUCUCUGUCACUUACAUUAGUAGUAGGCCCCCUUUGGUGGCUAAACUGAGCCCGUCGGGCAACUGUGUGUUAGUUGAAUCUCAGAGUCCAAAGGGAGCGGAGAUUGAGUACAACACCACACGCACCAUUAACGUCACGUAGCUUCUGCAAGUUUGGGCACUAGCAGUAGUGGAGAAAAACCCACAAAAGCCCACCCAACCAUGUCUGAUAGGAAGGUGCUGGGAAAGAAAGUCCUCUUUACCUUUCAGACGGAAAGUCGA